rnacentral:rRNA from 1 species
AAUGAACGUUGGCGGCGUGGAUUAGGCAUGCAAGUCGUGCGAGAAGUUCCUUGCUUGCAAGGGACGGACAGCGGCGAAAGGGAGAGUAACGCGUGGGUAUCUACCUUCAGGCCUGGGAUAGCGGCGGGAAACUGCCGGUAAUACCGGAUAAUGUCUCCGGACCAAAGGUGCGAUUCCGCCUGGAGAUGGGCCCGCGUCCUAUUAGCUUGUUGGUGGGGUAAUGGCCUACCAAGGCGAUGAUGGGUACCGGGUGUGAGAGCAUGGCCCGGCUCACUGGGACUGAGACACUGCCCAGACACCUACGGGUGGCUGCAGUCGAGAAUCUUCGGCAAUGGGCGCAAGCCUGACCGAGCGACGCCGCGUGCGGGAUGAAGGUCUUCGGGUUGUAAACCGCUGUCAGAGGGAAGGAAAUGCGCGGGGGUUCUCCCCCGGGUUUGACCGAACCUCAGAGGAAGCGCAGGCUAAGUUCGUGCCAGCAGCCGCAGUAACAC